rnacentral:rRNA from 1 species
GAUGAACGCUAGCGGCAGGCUUAACACAUGCAAGUCGAGGGGUAUAUGUCUUCGGAUAUAGAGACCGGCGCACGGGUGCGUAACGCGUAUGCAAUCUACCUUUUACAGGGGGAUAGCCCAGAGAAAUUUGGAUUAAUACCCCAUAGUAUAGUGAGUUGGCAUCAACACACUAUUAAAGUCACAACGGUAAAAGAUGAGCA